UACGGAGGGAGCUAGCGUUGUUCGGAAUUACUGGGCGUAAAGCGCGCGCAGGCGGCUAUCCAAGUCAGUGGUGAAAGCCCGGGGCUCAACUCCGGAAUUGCCUUUAAAACUGCAUCGCUAGAAUUGUGGAGAGGUAAGUGGAAUUCCGAGUGUAGAGGUGAAAUUCGUAGAUAUUCGGAAGAACACCAGUGGCGAAGGCGACUUACUGGACACAUAUUGACGCUGAGGUGCGAAAGCGUGGGGAGCAAACAGG
rnacentral:rRNA from 1 species